rnacentral:miRNA from 1 species
UGUGAUUGUGUAUGUCUCUGUAGUUAAGUGUGUGUGUGUGUGUAUGUAUAUGUAUACAUACAUACACACACACGCACUUAACUACAGAGAUACACACA